GCCCAGGUGGUGAAAUCGGUAGACACAAGGGACUUAAAAUCCCUCGGCUUUUUGGCUAUGCGGGUUCGAGUCCCGCCUUGGGCA
rnacentral:tRNA from 1 species